rnacentral:rRNA from 1 species
UGGGGAAUAUUGGACAAUGGGCGAAAGCCUGAUCCAGCAAUGCCGCGUGAGUGAUGAAGGCCUUAGGGUUGUAAAGCUCUUUUACCCGGGAUGAUAAUGACAGUACCGGGAGAAUAAGCUCCGGCUAACUCCGUGCCAGCAGCCGCGGUAAUACGGAGGGAGCUAGCGUUAUUCGGAAUUACUGGGCGUAAAGCGCACGUAGGCGGCUUUGAAGUUAGAGGUGAAAGCCUGGAGCUCAACUCCAGAAUUGCCUUUAAGACUGCAUCGCUUGAAUCCAGGAGAGGUGAGUGGAAUUCCGAGUGUAGAGGUGAAAUUCGUAGAUAUUCGGAAGAACACCAGUGGCGAAGGCGGCUCACUGGACUGGUAUUGACGCUGAGGUGCGAAAGCGUGGGAGCAAACAGGAUUAGAUACCCUGGUAGUCCACGCCGUAAACGAUGAUAACUAGCUGUCGGGGCUCUUAGAGCUUCGGUGGCGCAGCUAACG